AUAAGAGUUUAAUUCUCGUUCCUCUCUUCAUUUCUCAGAACACCCCAUCCUUCGCGGGCUCCUCAUCCAUCCCCUCCAAAUCCUUCAUCGGCGGCACCUCUCUCCGUUGCACCGCCGUUGCCUGAAGCUCCAUCACACCCCUUUUCUAAUCUCUCCGUCACACCCGGUCACCAGUCUCUCUCUUUCAUCUUCGACGCCGAUUAAUUUUGCCACCCUCUCGACACUGUUUUCCGUCGCUGCUCGUUGAAGCUCGUCAGCGUCGUCGCCGCUUCUACCUUUUCUUCUCGUCACCGUUGGUUCAGACACAGAGAUGGCAAGCUUUCUGUGAAGGAACUCCAAUUUGUUGAGCAUUGAAUUGAAUCAGAUUGGGUCAUAGCACAUGGCAUCAUGGCUUUGAUCUUUUGGUGUAAUGUGCAAUCAUAUAAUGGAUCCUGAUACAAAUAACCAUGUUGAGAAGCUGAAGGAAUGGAUCAUAUAAAUUUUGAAACUAUGAGUUGAUUGAAUCUUCUAUUCAUUUUGUUAAAUGACAUGCUGAUAACUCUGCUCUGUCACAAGUAACUUCAGAUGUGAAACUUAGUGGCAUCAUAUGAUAGAGGUUUUGUUGUUAAUGAGAAACCUCACUGUCAACUUGUCUAGCCCUGAAUUUGAGCCGUUUUAUUUAUUGCAGUAUUAUUCUCUCUUCUGUGAUUUGGAAGUUGUAGAAGUAGUUAGGUGAUAUGUUAAGAUAGAAUAUUGAAAGGUUCCUUUUUUUCUCCUUCUGUUUUAUGACCUUCUUUUCAGCUUAAAUAUUAAUAGAAAAUAAAAUUAACUUUGUCUAUGACCUACUUGGCUGAGGAGUGAGGAGCAGAUACUCCGGGAUGAUAUCAAGUUUGGUGGAAAAGCCCAAACAGCUUUUCAUGAAAGAUAUCAGGUUAGUGCACUGAUUGAUUCUAUGAAUUUGUCAAAUAGGAAUUGGUUACUGACCUGGUUAUUUUGGUGGCAAGAUGCUGCCCAAGUAUAAUGCCACUGCCACGUUAAGGUUGGUUUCAAAUUAAUAAGGAACAUGAUUUAUUUCCUUUUUUCUUUUCAAAGGUGUUUUUCUUUUUGGUAUAUAUACUGCAAAUGAAUUUGAUUUUCACUUUUUGGGUCUAUUUGGUUUAUGCUUUUAUUUUCUGUUUGGUAUAAUAGGUAUUCAUUUCAUGCAAAGAUUGCAAAUGCUGAUUAGUUUUGUUGGCUUAUAUGAUUUGG